rnacentral:lncRNA from 1 species
AUUGCAAAUUCCCGGACUGCUAGGAGAGGAGAAGGAAGGGGGCGGAGGAGAGAGGGCUGCUGCGGGCGCCGUGCAGGGGGCACCCGGGGCCGAAGUGGCUGACGGCCGGUCCGGCAGAAACCGCUCGCGGGCCGUUCUGGCUCCGGCGGCCUCACCAGGAAGCGUCAGUCUCCACACUGGGGGAAGCUCCGAGCGCCGCCUCCUCUGCCGCCGCCGCCUGCCCGGCUCCGGGUCCCCGAGCCCCCUCCCCUGCUCCAGGCCGGCCCCCCGCCCUACCGGACGAUCCGGCUCGGUCGCCUUCCUGGGCGAUGGCUGGCCGCUGAGCAUGGCUCAGUACGGCCACCCCAGCCCGCUCGGCAUGGCUGCGAGAGAGGAGCUGUACAGCAAAGUCACCCCGCGGAGGAACCGCCAGCAGGGAAGCAAUUCCCCCAGGAGACCUGGGUUCUCGUCAGUGGUGACGGCAGUGCAGAAAUCUGUGGGUGCCUGAGAGUAAGGAGGGGGAGCCGUCCUCCCUCAUUCGUCUUCUUCCUGGAGGGUGGGGUCGGGAAGGGCAGAGCGUGCAGGUGGCUGCCCCAGCAGCUUGCUGGGAAGAGGCCUAGUCGCCAGCACGAGGCAGCGGGGCAGGGGGAGUCUUCGGAAGCUGGCCACCCCAGACCUUGGGGCGGGCACCGUGCCUGGGAAGGAGCCAAGACCCGGUGGCCAUGCCCUUCUUCCUUGGUUAAUUCCUCGCGUGCAGAUUUCUUAGGCGGAGACACAAUGCCUGGGAUCCUGUGGGGCACUGCUUCUUUGAAUGACAUCACCUGAAAGGGAGUUAGGCAAACUUUACCAGAAAGGGCUAACUUGAUGAUAAGUUUUCUCCCCUCCUUUUUCAGGUGAUAACUUUAGGCUUCCCUUACCUGGCCUCUGGGCAAACCUUUUUUUCCUUACUAACUUGGCUGAAACCUUUUAGUCAGCGAUGACCCCUGAUUUUAUCAUUCCAUCCAGCCUGCUAGGACACGUUGGAGUGGCCUUGGAAGGCCAUAAAAAUGGACUGACAUUUCUGCCUCCCACACUAACUUCCGAGCACUGGGGCUCCAGUUCCUGAUGCCAGAGCCACAGGGAGAAGAGGUGGAGGGCUCUGUUAGGGGUGUGCCAGGCGUGGAAGCUGCAAGUUAGGUCCCUCGUGUGAUGCUGGUGCACAGCUGUCCUUAAGAGGAGGUGAGGGCAGGUCAGGCUGUGGGGCAAGGCUGAAGAAUUAGCACAGUCCCUGGCAUCUGGUCCUUGUGCAAUGAGGCCAGGGUUAAGGACCUAAAUUGCUUAAUUAAUGGAAGAAAUCCUUAACUGAAUUAUUCAGGCUGUUAAUGUUUGCUUUUCAAAGUGACUUUAGCAGGACAUUUUCUUUCCUGCACGGGGUCCAGGAGGCCUUGUCCAUGUCUUGACAGAGAUUAGGAGGAUGGUUUAAUUUUGGCUAGUUCGAUCCCUGAGACCUCAGAAUGUCUAGGAUUUGAGUACUUACUAUAUACUGUUCUAAGCACUUUAUCCUUAGCAUCCAUUUUAUCCUCCCAGCAACCCAGUGAGAAAGGUAAUUAUAUGCCCAUCUUAUGAAUUGGGAAACAGAGAUUUAGAGAGGUUACAGAACUUGUUCUGGGUUACAACAGUGAGUAGCGAAUCUGGGAUUCAAACCCAGGCCAUAGGUCUGCCACACUCAGGCCUCACAUCCCAGACCAGGAAGUAAUGGGUUAAUGUGGCUGACAUCCUUAGAGCAAUGCCCAGAGUGGCUGAUCUUGAAGCGUUGGCUACUGUAUUAGUUUCUGUGGCUCUUGUAACAAAUUACCACAAUCCAGGUGGUUUAAAACAGAAACCACAGUUCUGGAGGCCCAAAGCCCUAAAUGGGCAUCAUCCAGAGGUUCUAGAAGAGCUAUUCCAGCUCGUGGUGGCUGCUGGCAUUCUUUGGCUUGUGGCUGCACCCUCCAGUCUCUAUGUAUCCGUCACACUGCUUCCUCUUCCUUCUGUAUCAAAUCUCCGUCUGUCUGCCUCUUUGCUAGGAAGACACUGCAAUAGCAUUUAGAGCCUCCCCAAAUAAGUCAGGAAAAAUUUCCCAUCCCAAGAUUCUUAACUUAAUCACAUUUACAAAACCCUUUUUUUUUUUUUUAGCCCUAAGAUAGUGUUCGCAGACUCCAGGAAUUAGGGCAUGAAUAUUUUAGGGGAAGCCACGAUUCUGGCUGUCACAGCUACUGUUAUUACUAGCAUUGCUUCUCUUUACUGAAGAGGUGACAGAGUGGGUCAUGAUGAAACAGCCUGGGGAGGGGUGGGUUUGCUCUUCAGUCCCCCCAAAGUCUCUGCCCCGGAGGGUCAGAUCUCUUGGUGGUCAGUCCCUCUAAUCCACUGCAUGCCUAGGCUGGCAUCUCUUCUACUUCAGCCCAGAGGGGCCAACAGGGUCUGCCUUCCUAUUAGUAACUUAAUCAGUAAGAAGAGAGACCUGUCCCUGGGGCCCCUUGAGAUCUCAGAGAGCAGACUUUUCAUUUUGGAGAGCUGCAGAGAAAGAGAGCUAAGGCAUCAGGCUUAGCUUCUGAGAAGCCUCUUCCUUAGGCUUAAGCCCGGAGGAAGGAGCCCGAGGAAACAGAAAGUGGGAGAGAGCAGUGGUGGCUUCUGGGGUUCAGCAAGGCUGGGCAGUGAUGCUUUAAGCAGAGAUGAGACGGAGGUCUGAAACCUGGCCCUUUGGAGAGGGUGGUGGUGGCCAAGGCUGACAGCUCUGGUUUCCCCUCUGGCUGUAACUACAUCUGGUGUUGUACCACUGCAAGAAGGGCCCUUCCACUGGGCUCUGGGUGGGCCCCAGGGAUCCCCAAUGCCAACAAGACCCAGGUCUCAUUCCAGCCUGAGUUCUGCUCUGGUCUUGGAUAAGUCACUUGAGCCCUCAGGGCCCAGCUGGCUCCCUCUGAGGGGGAAACAGGAUUAAUUAGUGCGGGCUUGUUAAGUGGCUCACAGCUACUGGGGGAGAGGAGUGCUGAGCAAGCAGGGUGACCUCGGGGUAUGGGGUACAUUCCUCUAGCUCAUUACACCCUGAAACUGUGCUUGGUUUUUUUCCAUCCCACCCUAUGACCUUUGGUCCAACUUAGAUGCUGCUGUAGAACCUGCCAUGUGGAGAAGGAGUGAAAAGUGGCUGUUUCUGUGGUGUGUGUGCAUGUGUGCGCACAAGCACAAGGCAAGGAGGUGUCAGGGAGGCCUCAGGAAGGAAGCUUUCAAGGGGCCAAAAUGGCCUAUCCCUUCCUUUUUCUUUCUAGGCCCUUCGUUUUUCCCUUUUCCCAAAGUUCUAAAAAUAAAGGCCCAGCUUUGUCAAGACUGAGUGAGGUUGGUCGGAAAGAAAAGGAAGAGUUUGUGUGCCGGGCAAGGCCUGGAGCCAAGAGGGGGCUAAAUGAGUCACCCAAGAAGGCGGACAAGUUCUGAUGGAAUGUUGCUUGAUUUUUCCUGCCCCCACCGCUGGCCUCUGGUUUUGGGGGGCAGUGAGGUUCUUUCCCUUCUCUCCUCUGCAGCGGGAGGCCAACUGUGGGAGCAGUCACUGAAAAUUGAGUUUGAGGAGGCCCCGCUGAUAGAACUCUAGCCUAUUUGUUUUAGUUCCGUUUGUUUGAGGCUGCCUGUGGCUAGCCCUGUGUCUCUAGCAAAUGUUCUCAAAAGUUUCCUAAGGGUUGAGAAAGAUAAUCUUAACAAAAGGACACAAUGACAGGGGUGUGGUGCCCUGGGUCCCAGCCCAGCUUCUGACACUUGAUGCAUUUAGGUCUUCGGAUGACCCCCUUUCCCUCCGUAACCUGAUCAGCUUCUGUGCAUGGCAGUACCUGUCCUGCGUUAUGAGGCUUUGUGAAGACAGAAUGAGCUUAUGCAUGGGCAGGAAGGGGCAUAGAAAAGUUAAAAAUUAAAUCUGGACACAAGGUGGAGAUGAUUAUGGUUUUAUUGUGUUGGGUUGAAGGAAAAGGAAGGAGGUGAGAUGGUGGUUGAGGUCUCCAGCAAGGAUUUAUAUGUGCUCUUAGGUUGUUCAUAUUUGAACAAAGCCUAGCUGAAGAGUAGGACUGUGGCUCAAGAGCUGGAAUAAGCGCCUUUGACUUGGCUUUGGACAGUCAGCUGCGUUAGCUAUGCCUCACUGCCCAAAGAGAAAAGCAGCUCAGGGCAGGCGACACAAGGAAUUGAGAGGCAUCUUGCAGAGCCCAUGAAUUAAAGUAUCCGGUGUCUCUGGCCUUCUCCAGCUUACCUAGUGGUUGAUGUUAGAUGCCCUGAAAGUAUCCGGUUAACUCAGCCUCUCUGAAUCAUGGCUGAUUCUGGGAGGGGGCUGAGGUUGCUUUCCCAGGGACCUUGGGCGGAAAGGGGAGACAAACUGGGACCCACCUGGAGUGAAGGGAUCCUCUAGGUGGACAGGGCAAGGAAGUCUCUAACCCACCCACCCUGACCAUGUGGCCAUGUGAUACUCCUUUACGUUCGCGUGUUAUUUUGAGGGUGAAAAAUUGCUCUCGAGGGCACUAAAUCUCCCUCUUGAUCAGCACAUCAGUUCUCUGAGAUAAAGCACAUGACAAAAGCAUCAUUUUAAAGAUGAGAAGACUUGGAGUUCCUGUGGUGGCUCAGUGGGUUAAGAGCCCGCUAGUAUCCAUGAGGAUGUGGGUUCAAUCCCUGGCCUCAAUCCGUGUGUGAAGGAUCUGGUGUUAUGGUGAGCUGUGGUAUAGGUCAAGGAUGUGGCUUGCAUCUGGCAUUGCUGUGGCUGUGUCAUAGGCCAGCAGCUGCAGCUCCACUUUGACCCCUAGUCUGAGAACUUCCAUGUGCCAUGGGUGCAGCCCUAAAAAAUAAGAAAUAAUAAAAGAAAAAUGAUGAGGAGACUUGAGCCUUGGAGGAGCUCAAGGUCUUGCCCUACGUGGGGCCAUGUUGCCAUGAUAACCUUGGAUUAGAACUGCAAGUCCAGGGAACUUUCCAGGCUCCCUGGAGUACCUGGCUCAAAAGGAAAGACAUUCUUUUUGAACUUUAUUGAGGUAUAAUUUCUGUACAAUAAGCUAAACCUAGUUAAAGGUUGAUCGGUUUGAAAAAUGAAUGUUCCUGUGGAAUCACCAUGGUAAGGCAGCACGUGUCCAUCGCUCCUGUGAGUUUCCUGUGCCCCCCCCAACCGCUGCCCCAUGCAGUCGGUUCCUUCUCCACCCCCACCCCUGGGCAGCCACCCAUCUGCUUUGUGUCACUAGAGAUCAGCUCGCAUUUCUGAGACUUGCAUCGAGGCAGAAUCCUACAACGCAUACUCCUAUGCCUGCCUGGCUUCUUUCCUAAUAUUUUUGAGACUCAUCCGUGUUGCGUGGAACAGUACUUUGUCUUCUUUUCCUGCUGAGUAGAUCUCGAUGUAUUCGGAUGUGCUAGUACCGUUAAUUAUAACUCCUUGUGCACCACGUCUGUGAAAAUUCCCUGGUAUUUCCUGAUACUACCCGAGAUUCUUAGACCCCUUGUGUGGUUACAAAGCAGAUUUAUAUACAUAAUCACUAUGAAGUUUCAGAUAUUGAUCAUGUCAACAGGUUCAGAGAUUAAGUGCCCCAGAGAGUGAAGAGCAUCCUGCCUCAUGGCAGUUUUGUGGUUUUUGUUACUACCCCACCCUCAGCCGCCUCAAAUUCUAACUGCUUGUCAUGGAGUGGACAAGACUGCUCAGAACUUCAGGCUUUGCUUUUCAGAGAGGCAAGAAGCUUAGGGAAUCCUGGGUCUCCUGCCAGCUCUGCUGCUGCAGAUGACAGUGGUGGCGCAGCCCAGCGCCACCCCCAUCCUAGCAGGCAUCUGGUAUGUUUGUGUGAGGGGGUGUUCCUCACUUUUGGGCAGCCAGGAACCAAAGAGACUGAGCCACCCUCUGCCUGACACACAGAUGUCUAACUCCUGGCAGCCGUUGGGACGGCAUGGGUUUGAGUCCCAGCUCUGCCUCUUCCCAGCUGGUGAUCUUGGGCAAGUUGCUGAUUACCCUAAGCCUCACUUCUCCUGUUUGUACCACGCUGACAAUG